rnacentral:rRNA from 1 species
UAAUACAUAAGUAACCUGCCCUAGACAGGGAGAUAACUAUUGGAAACGAUAGCUAAGACCGCAUAGGUACGGACACUGCAUGGUGACCGUAUUAAAAGUGCCUCAAAGCACUGGUAGAGGAUGGACUUAUGGCGCAUUAGCUGGUUGGCGGGGUAACGGCCCACCAAGGCGACGAUGCGUAGCCGACCUGAGAGGGUGACCGGCCACACUGGGACUGAGACACGGCCCAG